rnacentral:lncRNA from 1 species
GGAUCAUCUGAUUUGAAAGUGGGAUAGCUUCUUCAUCCUAACUCCUAUGAGAUUUAUUCAACUUCCUUGUGAGUCUCCACUACUUUAUGUAUCAAAAUCAAGCUUAUUACGUCCCUAUUCAUCCUGGUUUGAUUAGAAUGACGAAGAAGUUGUCAUUUUCCCAAACAGGAAAACUGGGAUCACGUGAUUUGAAAGCGUUAUAGAUUCUUCAUCCUAACUCCUUUAAGAUUUAUUCAACUUCAUGUUGAGUCUCCACUACUUUAUGUAUCCAAAUCAAGCUUCUUACAUCACGAUUCAUACUGGUUUGAUAAGAAUGACGAAAAAGGUUGUUAUAUUUCCAAACAGGAAAACAAGGAUCAUCUGAUUUGAAAGUGGGAUAGCUUCUUCAUCCUAACUCCUAUGAGAUUUAUUCAACUUCCUGGUGAGUCUCCACUAUUUUAUGUAUCCAAAUCAAGCAGCUUCCAUCACGAUUAAUCCUGGUUUGAUUAGAAUGACAAAUAAGUUAUCAUUUUCUCAAACAGAAAAACUCGGAUUACCUGAUUUUAAAGUGGGAUAGCUUCUUUAUCCUAACUCCUUUGAGAUUUAUUCAAUUUCCUGGUGAUUCUCCACUUUUUUAUAUAUCCAAAUCAAGCUUCUUAAAUAGUUAUUCAUCCUGGUUUGAUUAGAAUGACGAAGAAGUUGUCAUAUUCCCAAACAUGAAAACUAGGAUCACCUUAUUUGAAAAUGGAAUAGCUUCUUCAUCCUAGCUCCUAUUAGAUUUUUUUCAACUUCCUGGUGAUUCUCCACUACUUAAUGUAUCAAAUUCAGGCUUUUUACAUCGCGAUUCUUCAUUUUUAGAUUAUAAUGACGAAGUAGUUGUCAUAUUGCCAAACAGGAAAACUUGGAUCGCCUGAUUUAUUCAACUUCCCGAUUAUUCUCCACUAGUUUAUGUAUCCAAAUCAACCUUCUUACGUCGCGAUUCAUCCUGGUUUGAUUAGAAUUACGAAGAAGUUGUCAUAUUCCCAAACAGGAAAACUUGGAUCAUCUGAUUUGAAAGUGGGAUAGCUUCUUCAUCCUAACUCCUAUGACAUUUAUUCAACUUCCU